rnacentral:sRNA from 1 species
UUUGUUGAUCCAGUGAUGCUUAAGAAGAGUCUUCAAAUUGGACUAGAAAAGUUUGGCUGAGCAUGGGAGUAGCACCGAAGCAGAUUCAAGGUUGCUAGUUCUUCGUGGUUUCUAGAUUGUAUUUCCUGGUACUGUCAGAAUUAUGUUGUCGGUUUGUAUUUUCACCUCUAUUGUGCCUUAUUUUGAUACUGUCGUAUUAACUUGUGUUAAAACAUUUGUCAUUUUCUAGUUAUCUGUUCGUGAGACGGGUUGCUGUUUUCUAGUAGAAUGAUAUUGCACGGGAUCGCCCAUGAUGGAUGAUGUUCUAGCUAUUAGUCUUUGUUGUUGGUGUGAUGCCCGCGAUGGUGCAGCUGAUGAUUGUGGUGAUGGCGCUGAUGCUGAUUAUGGGCAGAUCUUGGUAUUGACACACUGAUGUUGUUC